AUUGAACGCUGGCGGCAUGCUUUACACAUGCAAGUCGAACGGCAGCGCGGGCUUCGGCCUGGCGGCGCGUGGCGAACGGGUGAGUAAUGCAUCGGAACGUGCCCAGUCGUGGGGGAUAGCCCGGCGAAAGCCGGAUUAAUACCGCAUACGACCUGAGGGUGAAAGCGGGGGACCGAAAGGCCUCGCGCUAUUGGAGCGGCCGAUGUCGGAUUAGCUAGUUGGUGGGGUAAAGGCUUACCAAGGCGACGAUCCGUAGCUGGUCUGAGAGGACGACCUGCCACACUGGGACUGAGACACGGCCCAGACUCCUACGGGAGGCAGCAGUGGGGAAUUUUGGACAAUGGGGGCAACCCUGAUCCAGCCAUGCCGCGUGAGGGAAGAAGGCCUUCGGGUUGUAAACCGCUUUUGUUCGGGAAGAAAUCCUCUGGGCUAAUACCCCGGGGGGAUGACGGUACCGGAAGAAUAAGCACCGGCUAACUACGUG
rnacentral:rRNA from 1 species